UUCUCUCACAUCAGACUCAAAAAGUAAAGGUGUCACAUGAGGCUAGAAAAGACAACAGACGAGGCACUAAGAUUUCUUGGUUCCAUUCCCAAGUGUGUAAAUACAAGUGACCCUUGAGAUACUAUUUAACUUUUCUUGGUGUUAAUUUCCUCAUCUGUCAACUUUGCGGGUUAGAAUAAAUUUAGAAGAUAUUUUGAGAUCCCACGUAUUUUGGUAACUGUGUAAUCAAGAAAAGAUAGUGCAGCCCUGUGUUCAUCGCAGCAUUAUUUAUAAUAGCCAAGACAUGGAAACAACCUAAGGGUCCACUGACGGAUGAAUGGAUAAAUAAAAUGUGGUGCACAUAUAUAUGGAAUGCAAUAUUCUUCAGUCAUAAAAAGAAGGAAAUCCUGCCAUUUACUACAACCUGGAUGGAUCUUGAAGGCAUUAUGGUACGUGAAAUAAGUAAGACAAUGAGAAAA